rnacentral:rRNA from 1 species
GACGAACGCUGGCGGCGUGCUUCAUACAUGCAAGUCGAACGAGAAGCUGACUUCGGUCAGUGGAAAGUGGCGGACGGGUGAGUAAUAUGUAGGAAAUCUGCCUUUAGGAGGGGGACAACAGAGGGAAACUUCUGCUAAUACCCCAUAUGAGCGUAGCUGAAAUGCUAUUCUUGAAAACUCCGGUGCCUAAAGAUGAGCCUGCAUCUGAUUAGCUAGUUGGUAGUGUAAUGGACUACCAAGGCGACGAUCAGUAGCUGGUUUGAGAGGAUGAUCAGCCACAAUGGGACUGAGACACGGCCAAUACUCCUACGGGAGGCAGCAGUAGGGAAUUUUGCGAAAUGGGCGAAAGCCUGACGCAGCAACGCCGCGUGAACGAUUAAGCCCUUCGGGGUGUAAAGUUCUGUCAGUGGGGACGAAACUUGACGGUACCCACAGAGGAAGCACCGGCUAACUCCGUG